AAUGAACGCUGGCGGCGUGCCUAAUACAUGCAAGUCGAGCGAACAGACCAGGAUCUUGCUCCUCUGACGUUAUCGGCGGACGGGUGAUGAACACUGGUAUAACCUACCUAUAAGACUGGUAUAACUUUGGGAAACCUGAGCUAAUACCGGAUAAUAUAUUGAACCGAAUGGUUCAAUAGUCAAAUAAGGUUGUUCUGUCACUUAUAGAUGGAUCCGCGCCGCAUUAGCUAGUUGGUAAGGUAAAGGCUUACCAAAGCAACGAUGCGUAGCCGACCUGAUAGGGUGAUCGGCCACACUGGAACUGAGACACGGUCCCGACUCCUACGGGAGGCAGCAGUAGGGAAUCUUACGCAAUGGGCGAAAGCCUGACGGAGCAACGCCGCGUGAGUGAUGAAGGUCUUCGGCUCGUAAAACUCUGUUAUUAGGGAAGAACAAAUGUGUAAGUACCUAUGAACGUCUUGACGGUACCUAAUCAGAAAGCCACGGCUAACUACGUG
rnacentral:rRNA from 1 species